rnacentral:rRNA from 1 species
GCGACAGGCUUAACACAUGCAAGUCGAGGGGCAGCGGGGGUAGCAAUACCCGCCGGCGACCGGCGCACGGGUGAGUAACGCGUAUGCAACUUACCUAUCAGAGGGGGAUAACCCGGCGAAAGUCGGACUAAUACCGCAUGAAGCAGGGAUCCCGCAUGGGAAUAUUUGCUAAAGAUUCAUCGCUGAUAGAUAGGCAUGCGUUCCAUUAGGCAGUUGGCGGGGUAACGGCCCACCAAACCGACGAUGGAUAGGGGUUCUGAGAGGAAGGUCCCCCACAUUGGUACUGAGACACGGACCAAACUCCUACGGGAGGCAGCAGUGAGGAAUAUUGGUCAAUGGCCGAGAGGCUGAACCAGCCAAGUCGCGUGAGGGAUGAAGGUUCUAUGGAUCGUAAACCUCUUUUAUAAGGGAAUAAAGUGCGGGACGUGUCCCGUUUUGUAUGUACCUUAUGAAUAAGGAUCGGCUAACUCCGUGCCAGCAGCCGCGGUAAUACGGAGGAUCCGAGCGUUAUCCGGAUUUAUUGGGUUUAAAGGGUGCGUAGGCGGCCUUUUAAGUCAGCGGUGAAAGUCUGUGGCUCAACCAUAGAAUUGCCGUUGAAACUGGGGGGCUUGAGUAUGUUUGAGGCAGGCGGAAUGCGUGGUGUAGCGGUGAAAUGCAUAGAUAUCACGCAGAACCCCGAUUGCGAAGGCAGCCUGCCAAGCCAUUACUGACGCUGAUGCACGAAAGCGUGGGGAUCAAACAGGAUUAGAUACCCUGGUAGUCCACGCAGUAAACGAUGAUCACUAGCUGUUUGCGAUACACUGUAAGCGGCACAGCGAAAGCGUUAAGUGAUCCACCUGGGGAGUACGCCGGCAACGGUGAAACUCAAAGGAAUUGACGGGGGCCCGCACAAGCGGAGGAACAUGUGGUUUAAUUCGAUGAUACGCGAGGAACCUUACCCGGGUUUGAACGCAUUCGGACCGAGGUGGAAACACCUUUUCUAGCAAUAGCCGUUUGCGAGGUGCUGCAUGGUUGUCGUCAGCUCGUGCCGUGAGGUGUCGGCUUAAGUGCCAUAACGAGCGCAACCCUUGCCACUAGUUACUAACAGGUAAAGCUGAGGACUCUGGUGGGACUGCCAGCGUAAGCUGCGAGGAAGGCGGGGAUGACGUCAAAUCAGCACGGCCCUUACAUCCGGGGCGACACACGUGUUACAAUGGCGUGGACAAAGGGAAGCCACCUGGCGACAGGGAGCGAAUCCCCAAACCACGUCUCAGUUCGGAUCGGAGUCUGCAACCCGACUCCGUGAAGCUGGAUUCGCUAGUAAUCGCGCAUCAGCCAUGGCGCGGUGAAUACGUUCCCGGGCCUUGUACACACCGCCCGUCAAGCCAUGGGAGCCGGGGGUACCUGAAGUCCGUAACCGCGAGGAUCGGCCUAGGGUAAAACUGGUGACUGGGGCU